rnacentral:lncRNA from 1 species
CUAUCCUUUUAAUUAGAUUUAUUCUAAUUAAAACUAGAUAUAAAUGGUAUAUGAUUAGUCCCUUUAAGCAUGUACAAGAGUCCUCCUAAAAAUACAUGUCAGGCAGUUGGGGCACCAACUCUUGGCACCCCACAAUAGGGUUUCUAUCCAAAUAAGAAGGGGCAUUGCUCACCUCUCUCUCCUCCACACCAUGCCACAUAAGAGGGGGUGGGCCCCUUUAGGAUUUGGCACCCAAUUCUUGCCAA